GAUGAACGCUGGCGGCGUGCUUAACACAUGCAAGUCGAGCGAAGCAGUUAAGUUGAUUUCUUCGGAUUGAUUCUUAACUGACUGAGCGGCGGACGGGUGAGUAACGCGUGGGUGACCUGCCCCGUACCGGGGGAUAACAGCUGGAAACGGCUGCUAAUACCGCAUAAGCGCACAGAGCUGCAUGGCUCGGUGUGAAAAACUCCGGUGGUAUGGGAUGGGCCCGCGUCUGAUUAGGCAGUUGGCGGGGUAACGGCCCACCAAACCGACGAUCAGUAGCCGGCCUGAGAGGGCGACCGGCCACAUUGGGACUGAGACACGGCCCAAACUCCUACGGGAGGCAGCAGUGGGGAAUAUUGCACAAUGGGGGAAACCCUGAUGCAGUGACGCCGCGUGAGCGAAGAAGUAUUUCGGUAUGUAAAGCUCUAUCAGCAGGGAAGAUAAUGACGGUACCUGACUAAGAAGCCCCGGCUAACUACGUGCCAGCAGCCGCGGUAAUACGUAGGGGGCAAGCGUUAUCCGGAUUUACUGGGUGUAAAGGGAGCGUAGACGGCAAGGCAAGUCUGAUGUGAAAACCCAGGGCUUAACCCUGGGACUGCAUUGGAAACUGUCUGGCUCGAGUGCCGGAGAGGUAAGCGGAAUUCCUAGUGUAGCGGUGAAAUGCGUAGAUAUUAGGAAGAACACCAGUGGCGAAGGCGGCUUACUGGACGGUAACUGACGUUGAGGCUCGAAAGCGUGGGGAGCAAACAGGAUUAGAUACCCUGGUAGUCCACGCCGUAAACGAUG
rnacentral:rRNA from 1 species